GUUGGAUUGUUUAGUAAACCCAGACACAGAAGAGGAGUCUGGCAUCCUGUUAGCUUUAAACAAUGCACAGUUUGUAUUGCCUCCGGUAGUCUUCUUCCAAGAGAACUUAUCAAAAGAACACAGUGUCAGCUAUCAGUUCUAAAGCAUCUACAGCACAGACUCACAACACAGGAGCUGCAGUGCACAAGGCAACAGCAUCCUUCAAAAUUCUCGUCUCUUACUGCUUGCCCUAGCUUAAAGGAAGAAGAAGCUCCAAGCAGCUGUAGAGAAGAAACAGAAUUAUCAUCCAGUGAGGUUUGGAUAGAUUUCUCUAUUGAAAAUCAUGGGCCACAUACAUUCUCAGCAACAAAGUCAGAUACAUCCAGAAAGAUUGCUCAAACUCAGCUGCUCAGUCAGAGUCCUAGUCAUGUCCAGCGGGUUCAGCUUUCUUCAUCCAGAACUCAUAAUUUCUGUCAAAUUUUGGAUACGGGAUCAAGCUGUUCUCUACUCAGUCCUCAGAAGAACACCAGCCAGGGGGAUUUUGAAGUUGUACAUUCAAUCAAGCAAUCUGAAGAAUCUUGGCAAAAUGUCAAAGCCAAGGAUAAACUUGAAACAUCAUCUGAAGAUUUGACAGUCAGAGGAAAAAGGCUGGAAGUUCAGCAGAAGUUAAAAUCCAGGAGUUUAUUUUGUGCUCAUCUAUUAAAACCAAAAAUCUCUUCUAGCAUGACAAAAAUCCGCAAUUACAAUAUUAAAGACUGAUUUCUAUGUUGUCAGCAUGUUGUAGGUUCACACUUGCUAUUAACUUACUUAAACAUCUGUAUAUCAGGUUUAAUUAUCAGCCUCAGAUUUGUAUGUCAGGUUGAGAUAUUUGCAGCCAGAAGAGAGAACAAAUACCCUGUUUCAUACAGUGAAGCCUAAAAUAAAGGGUUAUUCUGUGUGCA
rnacentral:lncRNA from 1 species